GUGCUUACUUCAGCAGCUCAUAUACUAAAAACUGGAGCCAUACAGAGAAGAUUAGCAUGGCCCCUAUACGAGGAUGACAAGCAAAUCUGUGAAGCGUUCCAUUAAAAA
ensembl:snRNA U6 U6 spliceosomal RNA